GCCAAAAUAGUGCUCCUACAAGACUUCAA
rnacentral:piRNA from 1 species